rnacentral:tRNA from 1 species
GCCUUCGUGGUGUAGUGGUCAGCACGCUGGGUGCGUAUUCCAGAGGUCCGUGGUUCGAGUCUCCGCAAAGGCG